rnacentral:rRNA from 1 species
UCUAUCAGCAGGGAAGAAAAUGACGGUACCUGACUAAGAAGCACCGGCUAAAUACGUGCCAGCAGCCGCGGUAAUACGUAUGGUGCAAGCGUUAUCCGGAUUUACUGGGUGUAAAGGGAGCGUAGACGGCUGUGUAAGUCUGAAGUGAAAGCCCGGGGCUCAACCCCGGGACUGCUUUGGAAACUAUGCAGCUAGAGUGUCGGAGAGGUAAGUGGAAUUCCCAGUGUAGCGGUGAAAUGCGUAGAUAUUGGGAGGAACACCAGUGGCGAAGGCGGCUUACUGGACGAUGACUGACGUUGAGGCUCGAAAGCGUGGGGAGCAAACAGGAUUAGAUACCCUGGUAGUCCACGCCGUAAACGAUGACUACUAGGUGUCGGGGAGCAAAGCUCUUCGGUGCCGCAGCAAACGCAAUAAGUAGUCCACCUGGGGAGUACGUUCGCAAGAAUGCAACUCAAAUGAAUUGACG